rnacentral:lncRNA from 1 species
GGCCUUCAACCAAAGAGCUGGGCCAUCCGUGGCAAUGCCUCCCAGGCUUGGGAGCUGGGAAAAGGCCCCAGGAGCUAGGGCAUCCUGAUUGUUCUUUCAAAGAAAUCCCUCUUGUUCUUAGUCAACAUGCUGGAUACCAGCUAAAAAAUGCAAAAUGAUCUUCAGGCAGGGAUGGCACAGGACCCUUGCUGAGCUGUGAAGCCUGGCUGUGAGGAUUCCUGCAUGGAAACAUCAACAUGUUGCCAGAUUGGUAUACGACUCAACACCACACUGUUUGAUUGGAGUUGAGCUGAUCUUGUCUGAACCUAGCUGGGCCUGGUCCGGGGCGGCAAAUUAGAUUCAGACAUGCUGCUCCCAAACAGUGCCUUUGAAUCAAGACCCAGUCAUCGUAUUCGAAGAAAAAGGAAAUAUCCCUGACCAUGUUGGGACUUAACACUGCUUCACAGAGCUACCCAAACCAAGGAGAAUACCAACGUGAAUUGUCUUUCCACCUGUUGUGUGGGGCCAGCAAUUAUUCUUUUAGCUUGACGCGUUAACCCACCUGCUCCCUGUGGCCCUGGGAUGCUCUGCCAUCCCCCGUGGCUGCCAGUUCACUUAGGGUAGACUUAUGGCAGAGGGAUGUCAAUUUUGCUUGAACUGCUCAAUCACUGCUGACAUUUCGUUAACCACCCUAUGAACUUCUCAAGCCUGAAGUAGCAGCAACUUGUGCCCUUGAAAACUGAACAGAAAACAACUGUAUUGAUUUUCUACUAUCAACAAGAAAAAGACAAUUUCUCUUUGCUGAGAAUGUUCAUAAUGCAUUUUACACCACUUAUUCUCGGCAGUCCACCUCUUCCUGAUAUAUUGUUGGGCCUCUUUAAACCCCUGCUGCUUUAGACUCUGCUAGAAUUAACCCUGAAAUGCCAGCACCAUCUCAAGCCCUUCCAGUUCCCGGAUAGAAAUGUUCAUCAGUGCUGAAUUGACAGCCUACUUAGGCAAGGGAGCUGUGAUCAUUUAGAAAUUACAAAGGAACUCAGGCCUGGGUGAAGGGUUUGGGGUUGGGACACUAGGAAUCUCUUUUAGUAAAAUUCUCUUUUAAAAGAA